ensembl:lncRNA
CCUGGAGGUGUCUUUGUGAGAAAAAUUUUAAAUACAGGUUCAAUUUCUUUAAAAGAUAUAGGGCUUUUGAUGUUAAAAAUUUUGUUUCAGGUGAGCUUACCUAUAUUGUGUUUUUCAGUGAAUUUCACCUAAGUCAUGAAAUUCAUUUCCAUGCAAUCUUUCAUAAUAUGCCAUUAUGUCUUUUAACUGCUUGCUGCCUGAGUAGAAAUGUACCUGCUGUCAUUUAUGAUGGUAGUAAUUUGUACCUUUGCUCUGUUUUUCCUAAUCUGCCUCGCUAGAGAUUUAUCAAUUUUAUUGAUCUGCUCAAGGAAGCAGCCUUUGGUUUAUUUGAUUUUCUAUAUUGAUUUCCUGUUUCCUAUUUUGUUGAUUUUUGCUCUUAUGCUAAGUAUCUCUUUUUAUCUGCUUUUCUUUGGUGUUAGGGCUUUUUUCUUUGUUAUAUAUGAACAGAUCCAGAUGCCAGCACCAGACGACAUGGCCCCUCCCUCCAUUCCCCGUCCCUUCUGGGAAGGCUUGCACCCCUUCCUGCAGGAGCUAAUUGCCUCGAGAUCUAAUAAGUUAGUGAUGACGGGUGUUGAGCACCAGUGACCCUGCCAAAAGGAAUAUCAUGUCGCACCGAAGUUGAAGGAGUAGUCCUGAUGGGUCAAAAAUGCUUUCUCUGAGGGGCUCUAAUUCCUCGAGUGGGGUCAGGAAUGGCACCAGUGAUUGGAUUGGGUUCCUUAAGCGUCUGCACAAGGGAGCUUCUCUAAGAGAGGGACCAAUAGACGCGCUCAUCACUGGAGGCUUGGGUUCUCGGCCUUAUUGAAAAGACAUUACCGUGGCACAGUCCUGUCUUCUUGCAAAGCCCUCGUGCUGCCCUUUCUUUGAGAGCCAUUACAGGAAAAUUCAACUUUGAUGAGAAGUUUAAUCUGGUUGUUUCAUUCUUCCCACGGAACAUGGCUUCCUGAAGUUUUAUCCAAUGUACUUCCCUCCUCAGGGCAACGAAGUCUCAUAAAGGAAAUGGAUGGUGUUGGUCACAAGGAGCAUCUCAUUCCAGGAAGCUAAAACGCACACUGGCCAACAUUUGAUCAAUGAACGAUGUCUUCCAUUAAAAGAAAAAAUCAAGGUGUCUUUAACAAAAUGAUGAGAGAUUACACACUUGAACAAAUCCAGAGGCAGCAGCCUGUGGCGCUGUACACUGAAAUCUCAGCUCAAAGUGAGGCUGGGGCAGUCUGGUUAAGGCCAACAGUGUGCCUUUUCCUUUCUGAGAAAUGCAUAUGGCGUCCAUUUCUUAGGGCUGCCAUGACAAAUUGCCAACACUUUGGUGGUUUAAAAUUACAGAACUUUAUUAUCUCAUAGUGCUGGAGGCCAGAGGUUUGGAAUCAAGGUGCUGGAGUGUGGUGCUCACUCUGAAGGCCCCAGGGAAGAGUCUGCUUCUUGUGUUUCUCCUCAUUCUAGGGCUGUGGGUGCACCUCGCCUUGUUGCUGCAUCGCUCCAAUCCUGUCUUUUCUUCGCCUGGCCACACUCCCUCGGUGUGUCUCUUCUUCACUAGGUGUUCUCCUUUCGUGUGUCUCUGCGUCCACGUUUCAUCAUUUUACAGGGACAGCAGUCACUGGAUUAAGGUCCACCCUAACCCUGUGUGAUGCCACCUUGCCUUGAUUAUAGACACAAAGACCCUAUUUCCAGAUAAGGGCACACUGGCAGGUGCCAACGGCUGGGCCUCCAAUAUAUCUUUCUGGGGGACACAGUUCCACCCACCACACACACUGUGAAGGAAAGUUGCUCAUUUAUCUCACAGGUGAUCUCCCCAAGCCCACUCUGGUCAUCCAUGUGAAGGGGCUUUGGUGUUUCCAUAAUCGGCUUGUCUCUCCUCCUAUUCUGUGCUUCUGGCCUCCUGGUUAUCACCCUGCGGGUCUCUGUGCCCUCAGUUGGCAUCCAGGAUCUGGAAGAGCUCCAGCUGGCAGGUUGACUGUUCCUGCAUGGAUGUCUGAUUACAGGUGCUCAUGGGCAUGCAGAGCUUGCAACCUGAGUUUCAGAACCAGUCUUGUAUUUGGAGGUCUUCCAAAGCCCACGAUUCUAAUCCUUCCUUACAACACUGCAAAGCAUGAACGUUUUCUUAGGAGGCGAUACUGAGAGCAGGGAGGAGAUAUGGUGAGAAGACAGUGCUACGUUGCACAAUACCAAGUGAGACUUCUGCCACCUGACUGUACUCACCUCACCUCUCAUGCAAACACCCCAAUCCCCAACCACAUGUUCUCUGCCCCCUCACCCACUUCCCAGAUGGUCUCCUUCCUCUGGUUGCCCCCACCAGGUCUCUACUGGUCUAUAUUCACCAUCAUCUCUUUCCAUGCCACGGUCAAUCACGGGGCCACUGAGAAGCUCACUGAGGGGCAGGUGAUAUGGCUUGGCUCUGUGUCCCCACCCAAAUCAAUCUCAUCUCAAAUUGAAAUCCCCACGUGUCAAGAGAGGGAGGUGGUUUAAUCAUGGGGGCGGUUUCUCCCAUGCUGUUCUCAUGGCAGUGAGUGAGUUCUGAUGAGAUCUGACAGUUGUAUAAGGGGCUCUUUCUCCGUUCCUCCACGCUUCUCCCUCCUGUGGCCUUGUGAAGAUGUGCUUACUUCCCCUUCCCCUUCUGUCAUGAUUGGAAGCUUCCUGAGGCCUCCUGGACAUGCUUCUUGUACAGCAUGAGGAACUGUGAGCCAAUUAAACCUUUGUUCUUUAUAAAUUACCCAGUCUCAGGUAGUAUUCUUUAUAGCAGUGUGAGAACAGACUGAUAGAGUGGGAGAGGACAAAGCUAUUGGUACUUGCAUUUUUAU